UUACUACAAAGCCUACAUAAGCCAAUACCAUAAAAAUUAAGAGGAGAUAAGUCGUAACAAGGUAAGCAUACUGGAAAGUGUGCUUGGAACAUCAAAAUGUAGCUUAACCAUAAAGCAUCUGGCCUACGCCCAGAAGACUUCACACAAUGAACAUUUUGA
rnacentral:tRNA from 1 species